AACGUAGGAGACAAACGUUAUCCGGAGUUACUGGGCGUAAAGGGCGUGUAGGUGGUAAUGUAAGUCUGUUCUGACAGCUCCUGGCUCAACCGGGAGAGGCGAACGGAAACUGUAUGACUUGAGGACUUCAGAGGGACACGGAAUUCCGGGUGGAGUGGUGAAAUGCGUAGAGAUCCGGAGGAACACCAAAGGCGAAGGCAGUGUCCUGGGAAGUACCUGACGCUCAGGUGCGAAAGCCAGGGGAGCGAACGGG
rnacentral:rRNA from 1 species